GAGUGUCUUAGUGAGGAAAGAAAUAUUUGCCAUUGCCCAUUUGUUUCCGAGACCGGCGAGACGCUGACUUGAAAGUGUCUUCCAAGUUGAUUGGUGUCGAUCUACAUUUUUAGCCAUUAAAUGUAAUUGGCAAUCUGGCAUAUAACUUCACUUGGCCAAAUGUGAUGACGUGGCCCGAAACUGCUGUCCAUUUUGUCGAAAUGUCGGCCAUUGUUAGCUGUACAUCUCAUCUCUCGUGCAGAAACACUUCAGAGGAGCUAGUAAAUUGAUUUUCAGGUCGGAAAUGGAGAUCCCUUUGCUCAACUGUUGCAGAAAUUUAGAACACGACAAAGUCUGAGCUUCAUGGAUGUAGUAUCAUUAAUGUGAUUUUGUUGCAACCAGCUGGUGAAAGGUGUGAUCGAGUCGUGGUUGAGUUGCAGAAUCUGCAUGCAGUUUAUCAAGCUGGUGAUAUCCCAAGUGUAACUGCAGGAAAACUUCUUGAAUUGCCAGGUGAAGUCUGCGCUUUUUUGUUGCAGUCUAAUGUGCACAUGGAUUUGUUGCAGUCAUCCAGUGAAAGGUGUGAUUAAAUUGAGCUGUUGCAUGCAGUCUUUGGUGCUGAUGUUGUCCUGGAGUGUGGGAGAGUCCCAUGCUUAAGUCUUCUGGGAUCAGCCAUAUCUUAGUUGACACUGGAUCAUGCUGCAUUGUGGUUACCAAAAUGUUGCACAUCUAGGUGAACUGCAAGAAGACUCCUUGAAAUGAUAAUUUGAUAAAAAUUAUAAGUUCUAACUUGGGAAGUAUCAUGCUUGGACUACUAUAAUUGCUUACAUUGUUUAAUUUUAACAUUUGGGGAUUUCAUCCGGUCAACAGUUCUUUCCUUUGAUCAUAUGUAAAUUGAGUUAUGGAUUGUUUAAGGGGAAUUGGUUAACAAGAUAGGCAGGUACUGUAGAAGAAUGUUUUUGUUUCGCUGCAGAGCACUACAAAUUUCAAAUGAAUUUGUAUUGAAAUCUUAAAUGAGUAAUUUAUUUUCAUGUAUAUUUUUGUUUAAACUAUAGUUAUCAGAUAGUGUUGCCAUAGAAUAUUUGGGUGAACUCCAUUUGAAGUGAAUUUUUUUUAAUUUUAUACAAAAUUUCCAUUGAUCAAA
rnacentral:lncRNA from 1 species